GCUGUUUAUUGGGAGAGCACUGCUGUUUUCCAAGAUGUUUGGUUUUAAAACCAUCAGAAUGUCCCCAGGGUGUUUGGAAGGGGAUGUGCUGUGUCACGAAAGAGUGUUCCCCAUGGAAGGAUUUUUUCCAAGUGACAGGAUAAACACAGCCAGAGCAGAGGCUGCACCAUCUUUUCCCCCGUGGUUUUGCUCAGUAUAUGGGCAAGAUGCCUCUGUGAAGCACAAAACUCCUAUGGAGGCAUGCUGGGAUCUGUCUUGGAGGUGGAUUAUCACUUUCACACCUGCACUCCUGGCCAUGUGGGUUAACUGAUGACCUAGUAAAACCACUGG